ACCCCUGGAGGACUUCAGCUGGACACAGGGCACCCCUGGAGGACUUCAGCUGGACACAGGGCACCCCUGGAGGACUUCAGCUGGACUCAGGGCACCCCUGGAGGACUUCAUCUGGACACAGGGCACCCCUGGAGGACUUCAGCUGGACACAGGGCAUUUCUGGAGGAUGCUGGCUGGACACAGAGUGCCAUAGUGGACAGAAGGAACCGUGGAGGGAAGCAUGGGCUGGGGGCACCAGCCCUGCCUGACCCGGGGGUCUUCUUGGGCUCCUGUGGCUGCCGUCUGUGCUUUGCCGUGUGACUGCAGCCCUGACAUCCCCUUUGCAUAAGACCAAGGGAAACCUGAGCUUAUCACAUCAAAACCCAGGUUCUCGGGCAAGGUGACCUAGCUCGGGAUCCCCAGCUGCACAGACCCCAUCACAAAGGCUCUGUGUUCCCUGCAGGGAGGGUCUGGGGUGAUCUCUCAGAUGCCUCUCCCAGCAGGAUGCUGACCCCACAGGGAGUGGGCCUGGACCUGCCAUCCUGCUGUCCACCCUUGAUGCUUCUGCCCCUGUGUCUUCACAGUGGAGCAAACAACAUGAGCUACAGGCAGAAGCCUUGUUGUCCUCACUGGCCGCCCUGUAGUGACUACAGUGAAGUGGUGACAGGUCUGUGGACACACACAUUCUCCUGGCAGAAUGGGAAUGGAGGGGAGGAGAAGCAAGAUCGUCAACAAUGCUCAUCACAGCACUGUUCCAAUAAUAGGAAAAUGUGGAAGCAACUUUAAUGUUAACUGGGAGAGAGGUACAUAGUGGAAUAUUACUCAGCCAUAAAGAAGAAUGAAAUUAUGACAUUUUCCAAUGAAUGGAUGGAACUGGAGGCUAUCAUUCUAAGUGAAAUAAGCCAAUCCCAAAAAAACCAAAGGCCACAUGUUCUGUCUGAUAUCUGGAUGCUGACUCACAAUAAGGCGGGCAGGAAGACUGGAGGUUCCCAGGAUUGGACAUGGGGGAAUGAAGGGAAGGGAGGGAGAUGGGAACGGGAAAGACAGUAGAAUGAAUCAGACAUCACUUUCUAUGAAGUAUAUGAAUAUACAACCACAUCAUGUACAAACACAAGAACGGGAAGUUAGACUCCCUGUAUGUAUGAUAUGUCAAAAUACACCCUACUCUCAUGAAUAUCUAAAAAGAACAAAUGGGCAAAAAAGGAAAACAAAAUACAAUGUUAACUGGGAGAGAACUGGGUUCACCGAGUCACCUGUGGUGGGCGCCCCGGACCACUGCAGUGUGCGUGUGUGCAUUGCAGCAGAGAGGGCCACAGUGUGUUUCUGUGCAAAGAGAGAGCUGUGCAGCAAGACCUGGAGUGUGACCCACGCAUCCAUACCCCGGGUCUCCUCACCCCCAAAGUCAUGAGGCGAGACAGCGUGGCGCCCAGCUCCGUGGGUUAGGACGGCACAGGGGACUUCUUAUUUUCACUUCCUAAAUAUUUUCUGACACUCUUGUAAUGAGUAAAAUUUUAAUCAGAGACAAAAGCAUUUGUAACUUUGAAAGCUAUAUGAGCUGAAGACAAAGCUAACUUUGAGAGGCAAAAAGCUUUUUUAUGUAUUUCAAAUAGAUUACUUUAGCAAAAAUUUUUGGCUGGAUAAUGACUAAAGAAGCCAAAUGCUCCUCUUUGAAGUUUGGCUGGAAAAGCAGUGCUUUUUUCUUGGUGAUUCCCCCCUGUGAUUUAUUAAAGUAAUCAAGGCUUGUUAUAGAAAAUUCCAACAAAGUGUGUUUUAUUAUCUUUCACAGGGUGAUCCGAACCGGGCAUGUGGCUCCCCCAUCUGUCUGCUUAGGUCCAGGGACUUGGGGAGGGGUGCGCUCCGUUCCUUCUCCUUGCUGGCGUAGCUGUGUUGACGGGUAGAUGUGACUGUGGGCAAUGAAUUAUUAAUAGAAGAAGCUGUGAGACCAUAAAUAUUCAAGGACAUGCAUCUGGUUUCCCUGAUGCUUUAUGUAAGGCAGAAAAUGCACGUUUUUACUGAGUGCAGCUAAUGUCAGCCCCAGAUCACCUGCCUGCCUGGACCUGUGCACUACAAGGGGAAAGGCCCUUCUGACACUUCCUGCAGGUGUCUAGCCGAGCUGCGCUGGUGACGCGCUGGUGAACGGGCACAGCUGCAGGACUUGCCUGGCGGAGACCUGAGAACUGUGAGUCCCGGGAGCCCUCGGUGGGGCAGGGCUGUCCGCAGGGCUGGGCAGGAGGGAGGCCCCCCACUCUCACACAGAUGAGAUAUGACACUUGAGAAGACACCUGAAGUUUUUGGGGGUUGGACUUCGACUAGAAGACUUUCCACCAGUUUCCCUCCCAGGAAGACAAUGGAAAUCACCUACUUGCCCACCUCUCCACCUGCAGGCACCUCUGCUCCCAACACCCACCUUCAGAGCAGCUGAUCCAAGGAAGCUCCCAGUAGAAGGGACCUGUUCCUGCUCUCUGUGCCAGGCGGGUCCUCUGGGGGCGCGUGUGGCACUCACAGGACUCUCUCGAACAUGGAGCCUCGCUCAGGACUCCCAGGGAUGAGCCACUUCUUCCGAAUCUAUGAAGACCCUCACUGGGUCUGCUGUCUGGGGGGGCUGAGCUGAGUCUGCAGACUGCUUGGGGUGGCGUUUCAGCAGUGUGGGUCCUCCCAAUCCGCGGACAUGGGGGGUCUUUCCGUUUGUGUCCUUUUCGGUUUCUUUCUUGGAGAAGGAAUAUUUCUCUAACCAGCCCUUGCAUUUUUGGUAUUGGGGAUUAAACCCAGAGUGCUUAGCCACCGAGCCACAUCCCCUGACCUUUUUAAAUGUCGUGUUUAGAGACAGGUCUCACUGAGUUGCUUGGGGCCUUGCUAAGUUGCUGAGGCUGGGUUUGAACUUUGAUCCUCCUGCCUUCGACGCUGAGCCCCUGGGAUUACAGGUGCGUGUCACCAUGCCCCGCUCAACCAGCCUUUCCAAGGUGUGUUUCACAAACCCUAGUUCCGUGGAGUGUUAGUGAACUGUGCUACUGUGAGUGUCCUGUAGGAAUGCCACCCGGGACAUUCAGGAUGUGUGGGGAGGUUUCUGGUUGUCCAUCUGGGAUGGGGUGAGGGGAUGACUGGCAGGUGGUGUUUACUGGCUUCCAAGGGUGGAGGCCAGGGCAUGGCUGCAGAUCCCGCCAUGAACAGGCAGCCUCCACAACCAACAGCUUCCCAGCAGUGCAGAGGCUGAGGCAGGCUGCCUACAGGCAUCGAGGACGUGACCUCCCAUCCACCCCUCAUCCCCAGAGCGUUUGCACAGACGACUGAGUGUCCCGUGGUGCACAGGUAAGGACUUGCCACCUGUGUGCUCAGCCCUGAUGGAGAGGUAACUUGUGAGACAGGAUGUGAGCCCUGUGCAGGGUCAGUGGGUGAUGUCCCUGACCCUCAUGACACUGGGGAAUCAGCUGCUCAGGUGGAUGGUGCUCCCCAAGCAGGCUCUUCUCGGGGGUCCUCCUCAUGCUGCUGUGACAUCAUCAGGCCCCGCGGUGGCCUGACCUCCUGACCUGAGCUCCUUGGGGAGGCAGCGGGCGCUCUCCCGUCUCACGGGGGCACAGCGGGUAGUCUCCCGAGCGCGAGGACGGGAGCUUGAGGGUCUGGAGGAGGCAUGACAACGAGUUCCAGUUGAGCCCCAAGGAUGUCAAAGCAGAUAUGACUUGUUGCAGACACAGAGCUUAUAAAUCCAUGUUCCUCUUUCAAAACAGCAGCAGCAGCAGCAGCAGCAGCAGCAGAUACACUCAGCGUGGAGACCAAGGCUUUUGAAAAGAUGAAUAUUCUGGACUUACGAAGAUAAAAAGGCAUUAAUGGGACUUCUGUUUACAAGACUGGAUUUGCCAACCGAGCUUUUCUAAAUUAAGAAAUCUAAAUAAUAAAUCAAGGAAAUAAAAAACUC